rnacentral:rRNA from 1 species
CCUACGGGGGGCAGCAGUGGGGAAUAUUGGGCAAUGGGCGCAAGCCUGACCCAGCAACGCCGCGUGAAGGAAGAAGGCUUUCGGGUCGUAAACCUCUUUGACAGGGGAAGAGCAGAAGACGGUACCCUGAAAACACGCUACGGCUAACUACGUGCCAGCAGCCGCGGUAAUAAGUAGGUGGGCAGCGUUGUCCGGAUUUACUGGGUGGAAAGGGUGUGUAGUCGGGAAGGCAAGUCAGAUGUGAAAUCUGGAGGCUCAACCGCGAAAUUGCAUUUGAAACUGUUUUUCUUGAGUACUGGAGAGGCAGGCGGAAUUCCUUGUGUAGCGGUGAAAUGCGUAGAUAUAAGGAGGAACACCAGUGGCGAAGGCGG